CAUGGACAUUACAGAGAAUAUACAAAUAUUUGGAAGUGUGUCUUGAAAUGCAAAUAAAUCAUCCACCUAAAAUUCAAGAGGAAGCAAAUGGCUCAUUUGUUUGAAGACUUGGCUUCUAGCUGAAAGUGCAUUUUGGAGUUGUGGAACCUAUAGGUGAUAUGGUCCCAGCUGAAGGAAGUGGCUUACAAGGAGUCAGGCACUGUGUGUUAAAACCCAGCCCUGUCCCUGGUCCAAACUUACUACUUCCUGGUCAACUGAUUUACAAGAAAUCUCAACUAUAUCCUCCUGCUGCUGUGAAGUCUCCUAUGCCUUUUUCACCGCGGUGAACUGUACUAUCUCAAGUUCUGGGUCAAAAUAAAU
rnacentral:lncRNA from 1 species